rnacentral:rRNA from 1 species
AUUGAACGCUGGCGGCAGGCCUAACACAUGCAAGUCGAGCGGAGCGGCGGACGGGCGAGUAAUGCCUAGGAAUCUGCCUGGUAGUGGGGGAUAACGUACGGAAAGGGGCGCUAAUAUCGUAUACUAUCAGAUGAGCCUAGGUCGGAUUAGCUAGUUGGUGGGGUAAAGGCCUACAAAGGCGACGACCCGUAACUGGUCUGAGAGGAUGAUCAGUCACACUGGAACUGAGACACGGUCCAGACUCCUACGGGAGGCAGCAGUGGGGAAUAUUGGACAAUGGGCGAAAGCCUGAUCCAGCAAUGCCGCGUGUGUGAAGAAGGUCUUCGGAUUGUAAAGCACUUUAAGUUGGGAGGCGUUACCUACAGAGUAAGCACCGGCUAACUUCGUGCCAGCCGCCGCGGUAAUUC